UGAAAGGAUGACACAGCAGUCUGUGGAUUUAAUGGAUGUAAUCAAGUGUCUGGACUAAAUAUUUCGCUGGAUUUGCAUCUAAUGGACUUUUGCCGAUAUAUCGGGAUCGUUUUUUUCAGCGUAUUAUGGAUCGGUGGAUUACUUUGAGGCUUCUUAGGGUUUUGGAAUCCAUACCUUGUGACUAAAUGUAACUAAAUUUCAAGAUGACGUUGGCGUGGAAAGGUUUCCAAUACGAAAGGUAUUAUGAUGCUUGUUAAAGAAGAAUGACACGGUCUGGCUCCAGAAAGGUCAAGGGCGGCUCCAGGAUCCAAUCAUCAGCGUCAUACAGACAAAAUUACAGCCAUGAAAGAGGGCAAGAUGUAACGGCUGGCUCACCAUACUGUACACUGUAAUCUACCAUGUGUAGAUGCUGGUUUCAUCUACGCAACACCACUGCAGAUACUGUUUGAAAACAGACAUCUCAUCAGGAUGACUGACAGCUGUUUGGGCAGAACUUCGUCCGGCGAAGGCAACAUGAGGGCUCCCACCCCAUGACCAGUGCACUGACAGGAGUAAACAAGGAGGCAGUCCCAAGUGGUCUUGUAAGGAGGUGAGGGACUUUCCCCUGGAGACGCAUGUUCGGAACUGUAUGAACUUUGAG